AGCAUCUCUUUUGCUACUAAAACCACGAGUAGGAAAAUUCUAAUUCCAAUGAUUGUUCUUUCAGGUACCCACACCAUAAAAAUACACUGAUGUCCUGUGGUGUCUGAUCACUAGAUAUCCAUUUCUUAACGACCACAGCUCAUCUGGAUAUGUAUUUUAUUUUUUAACGUUUUGUUAUGGAAAACAUUAUUCCUCAAUUGAAUUCCUAUACUAGCCUACUCUGUCUGAGCCUCAUAAUUCAUGUCUUUACUCAAAGGAGACCCUGCUGGAGUGUCUUAGGAAUAAUUUUAAAAAGGAAAGGUCUCCUUUGAUAAACUUGACGACGGUGCAGGAGAUGAAGAGAAAGUUUGGUGUCAAAAGACAAAGAGUUGUGGACCAUGUGCCUCUGGAGGACCCACCUGGACAUCAGAGAGCAAAAAAGUGCAGAGUGGGGGUCCAGAUGUCUUCUGAUUAUGAGCCAACACAAGAGAUUAUGUUGGACCUUGAAGCAGUUGGGGAGGACUACCACAGCUUUUAAGAGCAUAUAAACGCCAUAAACAAUUAGUUGUGCCGUCGUCAGCCAGAUAUUAGUCAUAUAAUGGACAGGACGAGGCAAACUGUCUAUAAGAGGGUAGAGCAAAUGGGAAAGCCAACUGAGGAGGUGAUGGAGAUGUUCCCAUUUCUUUGGGUGUCAGAGCUGAUGCAUCAUGAAAUGAAGUUGUGGUUUGGACUGGACUUAGAGCUAAGCCUGCAUAACACCCUCAGUAUAUUGACCCCUGACGUCAUCAGAGUGGCUUGACAGUGGGAGUCAGAGGGAGAGGCUGUCAAGCCUACGAGAUACUAACACAGAUGACCUUCAAAAAAGUGCUGCUGUCCUAAUUUUGCCUGCCCUUUUCAAGGAGGAUGCCAAGUUUCUGUAUUGUUUAGACGAGGAACCACUGUGUUUCCAACCAUCAUCUUCCAGGGUUGCCAGGAGAGCAUCCAUAAAGAUGGAUGGCAUCACAAUAGCAAGUGGAGAGAUGGAUGCCCUCCAAUGCCUGCUGGAGGUGUAUUACAUCUUUGGUGUGGAGUACCACAUGCAGAUUAAGGACACACUGGCUUUUACAGAGCAUUAUUUGUUCAAGAUACCAAGUCAAAAAAGAGUGUCGACUCCUGUUUUGAGACUUUACAAUCAAAUUGGCUAGUCUUCGUUAAUAUUACCUUUUAUUAUAUGAUAUACUUAAUAAAUUUGCUUGAUUAUUUCUAAAUCUGUGUGUGGCCUUCCUGUUCAUGUUUUUAUGUGUAGAGCCAGGCACAACUCUUUCAUAGUAUUACAGGGCUUACAGCAUGUAAACAAAGGUUUGUGUAACAAGUU